rnacentral:lncRNA from 1 species
CAAUUGCGUGCGCGUAUGGAUGCUCCUUUCCCCGCCGCCUUUCUAGCAACUAGUUGAUGUUAUGAUGCAUCGUUGGUCCGGCGUACGACGGCGCCUGGUGCGAUUUAUGCGUCCGGAAGCCCUUUCAGCCUCCAGGCAUGUCCCCACCUGCCUCACAGCCACCGACGCAUCUCACGGCGGGGGUCCAAUUGCGUGCGCGUAUGGAUGCUCCUUUCCCCGCCGCCUUUCUAGCAACUAGUUGAUGUUAUGAUGCAUCGUUGGUCCGGCGUACGACGGCGCCUGAUGCGAUUUAUGCGUCCGGAAGCCCUUUCAGCCUCCAGGCAUGUCCCCACCUGCCUCACAGCCACCGACGCAUCUCACGGCGGGGUUCCAAUUGCGUGCGCGUAUGGAUGCUCCUUUCGCCGCCGCCUUUCUAGCAACUAGUUGAUGUUAUGAUGCAUCGUUGGUCCGGCGUACGACGGCGCCUGAUGCGAUUUAUGCGUCCGGAAGCCCUUUCAGCCUCCAGGCAUGUCCCCACCUGCCUCACAGCCACCGACGCAUCUCACGGCGGGGUUCCAAUUGCGUGCGCGUAUGGAUGCUCCUUUCCCCGCCGCCUUUCUAGCAACUAGUUGAUGUUAUGAUGCAUCGUUGGUCCGGCGUACGACGGCGCCUGAUGCGAUUUAUGCGUCCGGAAGCCCUUUCAGCCUCCAGGCAUGUCCCCACCUGCCUCACAGCCACCGACGCAUCUCACGGCGGGGUUCCAAUUGCGUGCGCGUAUGGAUGCUCCUUUCGCCGCCGCCUUUCUAGCAACUAGUUGAUGUUAUGAUGCAUCGUUGGUCCGGCGUACGACGGCGCCUGAUGCGAUUUAUGCGUCCGGAAGCCCUUUCAGCCUCCAGGCAUGUCCCCACCUGCCUCACAGCCACCGACGCAUCUCACGGCGGGGUUCCAAUUGCGUGCGCGUAUGGAUGCUCCUUUCGCCGCCGCCUUUCUAGCAACUAGUUGAUGUUAUGAUGCAUCGUUGGUCCGGCGUACGACGGCGCCUGAUGCGAUUUAUGCGUCCGGAAGCCCUUUCAGCCUCCAGGCAUGUCCCCACCUGCCUCACAGCCACCGACGCAUCUCACGGCGGGGUUCCAAUUGCGUGCGCGUAUGGAUGCUCCUUUCCCCGCCGCCUUUCUAGCAACUAGUUGAUGUUAUGAUGCAUCGUUGGUCCGGCGUACGACGGCGCCUGAUGCGAUUUAUGCGUCCGGAAGCCCUUUCAGCCUCCAGGCAUGUCCCCACCUGCCUCACAGCCACCGACGCAUCUCACGGCGGGGUUCCAAUUGCGUGCGCGUAUGGAUGCUCCUUUCCCCGCCGCCUUUCUAGCAACUAGUUGAUGUUAUGAUGCAUCGUUGGUCCGGCGUACGACGGCGCCUGAUGCGAUUUAUGCGUCCGGAAGCCCUUUCAGCCUCCAGGCAUGUCCCCACCUGCCUCACAGCCACCGACGCAUCUCACGGCGGGGUUCUAAUUGCGUGCGCGUAUGGAUGCUCCUUUCCCCGCCGCCUUUCUAGCAACUAGUUGAUGUUAUGAUGCAUCGUUGGUCCGGCGUACGACGGCGCCUGAUGCGAUUUAUGCGUCCGGAAGCCCUUUCAGCCUCCAGGCAUGUCCCCACCUGCCUCACAGCCACCGACGCAUCUCACGGCGGGGUUCCAAUUGCGUGCGCGUAUGGAUGCUCCUUUCCCCGCCGCCUUUCUAGCAACUAGUUGAUGUUAUGAUGCAUCGUUGGUCCGGCGUACGACGGCGCCUGAUGCGAUUUAUGCGUCCGGAAGCCCUUUCAGCCUCCAGGCAUGUCCCCACCUGCCUCACAGCCACCGACGCAUCUCACGGCGGGGUUCCAAUUGCGUGCGCGUAUGGAUGCUCCUUUCCCCGCCGCCUUUCUAGCAACUAGUUGAUGUUAUGAUGCAUCGUUGGUCCGGCGUACGAUGGCGCCUGGUGCGAUGUAUGCGUCCGGAAGCCCUUUCAGCCUCCAGGCAUGUCCCCACCUGCCUCACAGCCACCGACGCAUCUCACGGCGGGGUUCCAAUUGCGUGCACGUAUGGAUGCUCCUUUCCCCGCCGCCUUUCUAGCAACUAGUUGAUGUUAUGAUGCAUCGUUGGUCCGGUGUACGACGGCGCCUGGUGCGAUUUAUGCGUCCGGAAGCCCUUUCAGCCUCCAGGCAUGUCCCCACCUGCCUCACAGCCACCGACGCAUCUCACGGCGGGGUUCCAAUUGCGUGCGCGUAUGGAUGCUCCUUUCGCCGCCUUUCCAGCAACUAGUUGAUGUUAUGAUGCAUCGUUGGUCCGGCGUACGACGGCGCCUGAUGCGAUUUAUGCGUCCGGAAGCCCUUUCAGCCUCCAGGCAUGUCCCCACCUGCCUCACAGCCACCGACGCAUCUCACGGCGGGGGUCUAAUUGUGUGCGCGUAUGGAUGCUCCUUUCGCCGCCGCUUUCUAGCAACUAGUUGAUGUUAUGAUGCAUCGUUGGUCCGGCGUACGACGGCGCCUGAUGCGAUUUAUGCGUCCGGAAGCCCUUUCAGCCUCCAGGCACGUCCCCACCUGCCUCACAGCUACCGACGCAUCUCACGGCGGGGGUCUAAUUGUGUGCGCGUAUGGAUGCUCCUUUCGCCGCCGCUUUCUAGCAACUAGUUGAUGUUAUGAUGCAUCGUUGGUCCGGCGUACGACGGCGCCUGAUGCGAUUUAUGCGUCCGGAAGCCCUUUCAGCCUCCAGGCAUGUCCACACCUGCCUCACAGCCACCGACGCAUCUCACGGCGGGGGUCUAAUUGCGUGCGCGUAUGGAUGCUCCUUUCCCCGCCGCAUUUCUAGCAACUAGUUGAUGUUAUGAUGCAUCGUUGGUCCGGUGUACGAUGGCGCCUGAUGCGAUUUAUGCGUCCGGAAGCCCUUUCAGCCUCCAGGCAUGUCCCCACCUGCCUCACAGCCACCGACGCAUCUCACGGCGGGGGUCUAAUUGCGUGCGCGUAUGGAUGCUCCUUUCGCCGCCUUUCUAGCAACUAGUUGAUGUUCUGAUGCAUCGUUGGUCCGGCGUACGACGGCGCCUGAUGCGAUUUAUGCGUCCGGAAGCCCUUUCAGCCUCCAGGCAUGUCCCUACCUGCCUCACAGCCACCGACGCAUCUCACGGCGGGGUUCCAAUUGUGUGCGCGUAUGGAUGCUCCUUUCCCCGCCGCCUUUCUAGCAACUAGUUGAUGUUAUGAUGCAUCGUUGGUCCGGUGUACGACGGCGCCUGAUGCGAUUUAUGCGUCCGGAAGCCCUUUCAGCCUCCAGGCACGUCCCCACCUGCCUCACAGCCACCGAGGCAUCUCACGGCGAGGGUCUAAUUGCGUGCGCGUAUGGAUGCUCCUUUCGCCGCCUUUCCAGCAACUAGUUGAUGUUAUGAUGCAUCGUUGGUCCGGCGUACGACGGCGCCUGAUGCGAUUUAUGCGUCCGGAAGCCCUUUCAGCCUCCAGGCAUGUCCCCACCUGCCUCACAGCCACCGACGCAUCUCACGGCGGGGUUCCAAUUGCGUGCGCGUAUGGAUGCUCCUUUCGCCGCCUUUCCAGCAACUAGUUGAUGUUAUGAUGCAUCGUUGGUCCGGUGUACGACGGCGCCUGAUGCGAUUUAUGCGUCUGAAAGCCCUUUCAGCCUCCAGGCAUGUCCCCACCUGCCUCACAGCCACCGACGCAUCUCACGGCGGGGUUCCAAUUGCGUGCGCGUAUGGAUGCUCCUUUCC